AGUUUGAUCCUGGCUCAGGAUGAACGCUAGCGGCAGGCCUAAUACAUGCAAGUCGAACGGUGGUAGCGAUACCAUAGUGGCGCACGGGUGCGUAACGCGUAGCCAACCUACCCGAAUCUGGGGGAUAGCCCGCCGAAAGGCGGAUUAAUACCGCAUAAGACUAUGAGCCGGCAUCGGUUAAUAGUUAAAGAUUUAUUGGAUUCGGAUGGGGCUGCGUGCCAUUAGCUAGUUGGCGGGGUAACGGCCCACCAAGGCGGCGAUGGCUAGGGGAGCUGAGAGGCUGGUCCCCCACACGGGCACUGAGAUACGGGCCCGACUCCUACGGGAGGCAGCAGUAGGGAAUAUUGGGCAAUGGGCGAGAGCCUGACCCAGCCAUGCCGCGUGCCGGAUGAAGGCCUUCUGGGUCGUAAACGGCUUUUUUCCGGGAAGAACCGGUUCCUUGCGAGGGGCUCUGACGGUACCGGGAGAAUAAGCACCGGCUAACUCCGUGCCAGCAGCCGCGGUAAUACGGAGGGUGCGAGCGUUGUCCGGAUUUAUUGGGUUUAAAGGGUGCGUAGGCGGCCGCGUAAGUCUGGGGUGAAAGCCCGUUGCUCAACAACGGAACUGCCCUGGAAACUGCGUGGCUUGAGUCCAGACGAGGUUGGCGGAAUGGGCGGUGUAGCGGUGAAAUGCAUAGAUACCGUCCAGAACACCGAUUGCGAAGGCAGCUGACUAGGCUGGUACUGACGCUGAGGCACGAAAGCGUGGGGAGCGAACAGGAUUAGAUACCCUGGUAGUCCACGCCGUAAACGAUGGAUACUCGCUGCCAGCGAUAGAUAGUUGGUGGCUUAGCGAAAGCGUUAAGUAUCCCACCUGGGGAGUACGCCCGCAAGGGUGAAACUCAAAGGAAUUGACGGGGGCCCGCACAAGUGGUGGAGCAUGUGGUUUAAUUCGAUGAUACGCGAGGAACCUUACCUAGGCUAGAAUGCGCGUGACCGGUUCGGAGACGAACCUUUCCUUCGGGACACAAAGCAAGGUGCUGCAUGGCUGUCGUCAGCUCGUG
rnacentral:rRNA from 1 species